GGGGGUCUGAGAGGGGCAAAUGAAUCUGGGUCGUUGGUUUUGCCCAGCCACAUCCCACUUUUCACUACAGCCGUUCGAUCGGUAGUUUUUUUUCUCACUCGUUCAGCUUUUCAUGGAGUCCAUGACGCAUGGGGCCAGGUACUUGCGGGGACCAACCGUCAGAGACAUCCACAGGUGCUCGUUGGCGUCGCCUUCCGUCUCGAGCCACGCGGGGAUGGUGAAAACCUAGAUCGCCAUUCCCCGAUUCGCUCCCCAAUCCCCGUCCUUCCUCUCCUCCCCAAUCCUCGUCUCUCCUCCUCCCCAACCGUGGCGGCGCGCCCGUCGCGGAGGCGGGCGGCAGCGCGGGCCCGGGAGCAGCCGCGGGGGCUGGAGCGCCGGCAGGCGACGGUCACGGCCGGUCGCGGGUGUCGCCGCGUGGAUGCCGCGUCAGUCGUCGCCGCCGCGGCUCCUCCAGGUGACAGCCGGUCGCGUGCGUCGUCGUGCGAUGAGGAGGUGGGCGGGCGCCGCCUCGGGUCGACGCCGCGGACGUGAGCGAGGACGGAGCGCGUGCCUCCUCUCGUUCCCCAAUACUGGCCUCCUCUCUUCCUCCCCAAUCAGCCGCCGCCUCCUCUCGUUUGCUCGAUCCCGUCGGACGGCCGGACGAGGUGGCGACGACGGAGGCUCGUCAGGGAUGAGCAGCAGGAGGGGUCGAGGUGCGCGGAUGGCGUGGAGGCGUCCACAACGGGGAUGGCCACGGUCGUGCGCCGUUGGAGCACGCAUGGAGGAGGGCGGCGGCGGGCCGGCUUGAGAUGGUCGUUCACAGCCGGCUGGAGCUCGAAAUCCGCUUCCUCCAGUUUGUUGUCUGCUCCUGCCUGAACAGCUUCUGGACGAGGCAGAGAGAGCUGCAGAUCUCGUCAAAAAAGGUUGGUCGUCGUUCCCUUCUUCAUCCCUGCUGAUUAUUCUCUCCAUGUGAGCUCGUUUUUCUGACUCUUGCAGUCCCUUUAUCGAACACAGCUGAUGCCCACGCAGCCUUAGUAUCUCAGUUUAAUUUAGUGAUUUUUUCUGAAGAUCUGAGAUGAAUUAAGCAUGGAUGGAUAGAGGUUCGUUGAUGGGUGCAGGUCUGACCACCAGCUGUUUUUAAAGCCUUUCUCAGAGUGAAUUUUUUUUAGAAUGAUAUUUCUUUUCUUGAUGUCUAUAAUAUACCUUGUUGUUUCUGGCUGUGUAAAUCUGCAGGGGCAAUGAGAUGAGGUUGAUCAGCGAACUGUAAUUGCAUAUAUUCUACUGAUGUUUAGUAAAAUCUGCAGCUUUAGGUUAGAUUUUUCAAAUUUGAAAAGCCACAAAUCCGAGUCCAUGGUUAUUUUGUAAAUUCCAUUGUUUCAAUUGUAGAUACACUAUGGAAUCAUAUCAUGUGCUUGCAGAGAGCAAUACUGUUGUGUUUCUUCUCAAAAGAUUGUUGGACUCCAUUCAGGUCUACAUGCCUGUAUGAUCUUCUUUUCAUUUAAUACAUAUAUCUCUUUUAUUCAGUUCUUAUGUUGCCUUUCAACUCCAAGAUCUUCCUGAUACAAAACUGAUCCAAUAUUUAUUCUGGUACCGUAUAUUGUGCCUCUUGGUGCUAGGAGAGAACCAGUUUUUUUUCCAUUUACUCAUCCAGUGGAGGUCUCGCAACAGGAGCAGUAUUAAGGGUUUGGUCGUCAAAGCAGAUUCACCGGCUAGGGAGAGGAGUAGCGGACUGAGGAAGAGGUGUAGAGGCAGCUACAGGAAAGAUGUCUCCAGGCUCACCUGUGUGGGCUACCCCUGCUAAAAAAGUCUUGGAGCUAAGUUAUGCCUUCUAUCACUUAUGUACUUACUCUUGGAUUUUCUUUCUUUACAUUAGAUCAUUUUUUGUGUAUUUUUCACUGUGUAUUCUUGUUUCUGCAGGUACAAGAACUGAGGAUAGGAAGUGGCUUAUUCGGUUGGGUAUGUCUAAACUAAAGGAGUUGUAAGUGACCCUGCAAUAUGUAAUUUUGGCCAUGUCAAGAUUAUCUCAACUAAUGACUGAACUUUAUCUUGUCAUUUUGCAGCUUGGAUUUUCCAUUAAGCUUGGUGAAGUAUAUUAUGUUAGUGGACAAACAGAAUACCAUGGAUGUCUUUGCUAUUUUGGAGGCAAUUCUUAUUGUGGGUUCACCUCUUGUGAUUAUCUAUAUGAGAUAUGCAUAGUAAGUUUUUUCACACAGUAUAGAGCUGCUAUUCAGAACAUCAGAAAGCUUAUGAUUUCCAAUUCUGAGUUAUGAGCUCUCUCACUUUGAAUAGGUAUUUUGGUAGAUCCAAUUGUUACAGAAAAAAAGGAUAUUUUGGCAGUAUUUCUUUAGCUCCAUUGAAUAGGUAUGGUUAUUUUAAAAUUUCGCAGUGACAACCAUUUGUGUCCUUUUUAUGGUUACGAGUAACCUAUUUGUUCACUUUCUUGACAGAGUGAGCAAUUUGAAUUUUUUUCUCGUCAUGUGCUUGAUGAAUUGCUUACAAAUGCAUAAAAGAAAAUAUUAACAGAUCCCAGAUCAACUUAAGUACUUAGUAUGCUUAGACUAUACGGCUACUCUUAAUAACUACUGUUAAGUAGAAGGCCUACAUGUGAUCCUCCUGUUAUAGAAAAGGUGGUUACUACAUCUGUAGCUUUGUGCUUAAUCAUUUAGGCCAGUGCCAUUUUCUUGUGGUUUUGCAUCUUUCUUCGCCCCCUUCUUAAAUUUCAUAGUGAUAAUAUCCAUUGCUCAUGUUAUGUCUAGCAGCAAGGCAUUGGUGUAGGCCUGUAACGCCGGUGACAGAAGGCAGGCUGUGAUUGAUCUUGAGAUUGCCUUGACCUCUGUGUCGUAGCGGCUGCUGAAUAGAAGAGCUCUAUCUUGAGAAUUCAAGGACCCCUGGGUUGAGGAGGACUUGGCCAAGGAAUGCAUUCGUUGCUGCUUUUCUGCGAACAAAAGGGGACAACAGAGCUUGAGGUGCUGUGUUUAUCUAGAAAGAAAAUAAAUAUGAUAAGAUCAGCCAGCUUUAAUUAUAUGAAUCAAUUCCGAGCAUUGUCACUCUGUUUUUAUUUUAUCAUACAUGGAGGAAGCGUCUCACCCCAGAAAUUAUUAUUUGUUUCCAGGAGUGGCGCUCAUGGACUGCCAGGUUGCAGAUGGUGAACUCAUUAUUAUAUUUUACUUUAGUGAAUAAAUUCAUAAUUCUUUCCCAUCUUUGGAUUUUCCCUUCAAAAAUUCAGAUAGUUUGGUUAUGCUUAUCUUGGUCAGAUAAAUAUUAGUCCUCUUUUUUCCGGAAUACAAAUAAAAAGCAUUCAUGAAGGGAGCAGGCUUUACAAAACAACAGUGUUACUGUUAGUUCAUGGUCCAUGUAGCAGAGCAUAGCUUACCCCAUUUCAAAUGUAGGUAUUUUGAAAGCAUCUACAGGUUUGGAAAAAUAGCAGGGCUUGUGAACUCGCUAUUAUCAGUUCAGGCUGCUAGCUCAAGAUUUAGAAUUGUUUCUCUUUUAUGUGCUUUGCCUUCAAAAGUGUGGAUACCUUAUUAUGUUUUCAGUUCCUUCUUUGGUUUUUACAGUUCAUUUUGAAGCUAAAAUGUUUGUUGCUUUCGUUUCCAAAAUAAAAUACAGUGAUUAUGACAGAAGUGGAGGCUUUCACAAAUUGUUUAAAAAAUAGUUAUUUCAAGAUUGUGUUAUCGCGUGCAUGUGUUCUGUUCUUCUGCAUGAAAGUAAUUGUUCAGUUCCAGUACUUCAGCUGCCUACCUAGGUACGCUGCUGAAACUGAUGAAUAAAAUACUGCCUCAUUAUUGCAAAAGUUUCGAAUCGGUAGACCAUACUUCUAAGUGUACCAUUUCCAUCAAUACUUUAUAGUGGUUACAUUUUGUUCAUACAGAGCUUGCAGUUGUCUUAUACAGGCUACUAAUUUUAUGUAGGAAGGAUUCUGUUACCAUUAAUUAACACACGAUGUUGGUGCUGGUGCUUUUGUGAUGAGUGGCGAAUGAGGUACGGAAUGAAUAUAAAAGGAUAUGCAGCAGGUUCCAUUAAUUAUCUGGCAUAUUCUUACUUUGUCAGAAACCCUAAAUGGGAAAUUGCAUAAGCUGUAUUUUACAUAUAGCAUACAAGGGUGUGUAUCUUAAUCGAAAAAAGUGUGAGUUUCUUUUUAUUGCGGAAUUGAGAUUGACAAUAUAAAACAAUUAGUUCCUGUGGUGUUUUGUUCAUGGUUUCUUUUCGUAAUGUACAUGAUUGCUUUGUCAGUUCAGCUCAUUGUCCUUCAAUCCGUUCAAGUAGAUCUUUUCUACAGCAUCUGGCGAUGCAAUUAUUAAGCUAUUUGACUUGUGCACACUAUCAAGAAGCUUGCAUGCUUUCGAUAACCAUGAGUGUGAUUUUCUUUAUUGGUGCAUGUCUUCUUUAAUCAGUAUUUCUGUUUAUCAUGCUCAGUUUUAUGGUUCCCAUUGGUCAGUCAAUCUACCCGCUCUUCUUCAGCUUAACUGAUAUGCUAUUAAGUAACUGAUGUUUUGUGCUGCACAGUUUGCGCCUGUAGGGGGGGAGGUCUUCCAGGUUGAGUGGAAUCCAAAUUUGGAGGCUAUAUUGUAGCUUCCCACAAACAAAAGGGUUAUGAUAUGGGACGUUAGUAGGAAAGUUUAGUCAAAUCUGCUCCUAUAUUCUAUUUUAUGUUUGCUUUUGGCAUCUUAUUUUCCCUCUCGCCACAUUGUUAUUUAUUGGUGAAUCAGUCCGAAUUGAAACCGAAAAAUAUGUAAUGGGUUUGAUCCAAAACAACAAUCUGUUUGCAUUUACUUCUGCCUUAUCAAUUGCCAAUGCUCUUAAUUUGAAGCCAAUUCUCAUUAAAAUGGUUAGCAAUAAUGUUAAUAGGAGAAUAGUUCUGGAAGGAUUUAUGACUGAAUGUACAUUUAAAACCGAGAGUGUGAACUGUAAUUGAGCUUUAUUCAGAUUUGGGCACUUUUUAUUUAUCGCGGAUUCGGAAUGAACUAUAAUUGAGCUUUAUUCAGUAGAAUAAAACAAGCGCAUUUUUGGAAACUGUGCAGCUGCAAGUUCUUUGCAAUUUAUCUGGUUGUGUUCAUAUAGUAGAGCGGACAAUCUGUGCUGUUGUAGUCUCAAGGUAGUGAGCGAUUAACAACACCAUGUUGCAUACAUGGUCCAUGGUUUUUCCAUUUUUAAAUGCAGAAGCAGGACUCAACAUUUUCAGCUUUGUUUUUGGUAAAACUUAUUGACAAGGUUGAUUAGAAAUUUUAUCCUUUUCUUUACAUGUCAAGACGACAUCUUCCACGGAGUAUUUCGUCCUACAGUCUGCUUCCUCGAGUUGGCUGCGUGGUUCAGUGGUCGUUAUUCAUUCCGUCGUCUUCUCUUCAGUUCAGUGUUUAGUCAUGUGUGGCUUGGUUUCUGCUUGAUCUUUGUUUUUAGGCUGUAGUAGAUCCUUGGUAACAUAUUUUCUUAUGUUCGUAGCAUAAUUUGUUGAAGAACGGGUGCAACUUAUGUCUAUAAUCAGUAAAAAUAUAGUGCCAGCUAAGACUUCAGUGGUAGAAUUGUAGUUCUAAUAUCUUGGGUGAGCAAAUGUGAAUUCCUUCUAAUAUUUUCCCGAAUUGAGAAGUGAACCUUAUUAAUAGAUUUCAUGUACAUAUGAUUUGUGUGUGUGUGUCAUGUGUACAUAUGCUUUGUGUGUAGAAUUGCAGGUCUAAUAUCUUGACAUAUUUCCACGCCCUCUCAUCCUCCAAAUCAAUAGUUCUUAUCAGGUGAUAAUUAGGUGUGUAAGGAUGUCUCAGCAUAUCUCUUGUCCUCCUGUUUGAGUAAGAAAACAUCUUCAUUCUGCAGUUAGUACCUCUGCACCGUUUUUAAUUCCAUACAGAAGUAUAAUUCUGCUGUGACACUUUUCAUGAUAGUUCAAUAUCCAUUAUCUUGCCAGUUUUAUUAUGAAAUGAAUUAGCAGUAUCCUUCUCUAAUCUUCCCAUACUCAGGAUUCCUGUUUCGCAUUCAUGCAAAUCAGAGAUCAUAUAUACAUGUUAAUAACAUUACCGAUCACUGCUAAUACUAUCUUUGGUAAUAGCAUGUGCUAGAAUUUAUAUGGUCUUGUGUUUUUAAUUAUUUUAUAACAUAAUUAAUGCUCACUCGAGUUGCAUGCAGCCUUGGGUGAGCUCAGCCUUGGCCGAGCUGAUACUGUCACCAGCGCAGGGUGGCGUGUGCUUGAGAUUCCACUCGAGAUCGACCGGAUUUUGUAGUCAAUCGAGUUGUAGUGUUCAGUAAUCAGAACUUGUCAGGUCGUUAAAUUUCAGAGAUGUAAACUGGUAUGAGUUUCAGAAUUAUAUGGCCAUAUCCACUGUAAAUUUAUCCCAAAGCUGCUAAUGUAUGAGUUUCAGCGCUGCAAAUGUAUGAGUUUUGUGCACUAUCCAGUCAUCUACUACAAUGCCCAAGCUUGUACAUUGUAGUUUGAAGUUUUUGUGUAUUUCUUAAUCGACUUGCUAGAUGGAAUGGUGUUCAGUUAGAGAAGAUGGAUGCUUGCUUGGUAGCCUAUCAUAUGUACUGUCCCUUUUGAUUUUGCUUGUAGAUCUUCAGAUAGUAUUU